UAAGUGUCUCAGUUUUGAACU
rnacentral:miRNA from 1 species